CUCAUUCUUAGCUCAGUUGGUUAGAGCAUGGUGCUGAUAACGCCAAGGUUGUAGGUUUGAUCUCCAUACAGGACAGU